rnacentral:lncRNA from 1 species
GAGGACUGCAGGCCACAGAGCUCAAAUGAAGGCAGUGGGACAGCGAGACCCCACUGGGACCACACAGAUGCACAAGCUGCUUCAAACCUUUCAGGGCCCUUAAAUUCCCAGCAACUAAAAGGAAACAGGCCGCCUGGGGUGCUGGAAACCGCCGGCCUGGAGUCAGCCGAAGGUUCGAUUUGUCCUUUCUAGAAACCGUGUACACAUGGACUCCUACAAUCCAGUCCUUUGUGUCUGGCUUCUGUCACUCAGCGUCGCAUUUCUGGGGCUCAUCCAUGUUGUAGCAUGUAGUGGUAUUCCAUUGAUUGGCUACACUGUAGUUUCUCCAUUUGCCAGAUGAUGGAUGCUUGGAUUGUUUCCAGUUUGGGGCUAUUUUGAAGAACGCUUCUAUGAGCAUUUGCAUCUGAGUUGUAUGGACGUAUGUUUUCAUUUCUCCCGGGGAGAUCCUAGGAGCGGAGUUGCUGCACUGCAUGGUGAACGUAUGUUUAACUCUUUAAGAAACUGCCUCGCUGACUUCUGAAGCAGCUGCACCGUGGCGUGUUCCCACCAGCAGCUUAUCUCGUGUCUUCACAUCUGCUGGAGGAUUUGAGCAGAGGAGAGAUGUGAUGAGACUUGCUCUUCAGAAGAUUCCUCCAGCUGCCGGGUGAGGGUCACUGAGAGGGAAAGGAAGAGGCAGGAGGGAGAAGUCUGGGUCCUAGGCUAAAGCUCCGGCUCUGGGUGGACCAGAGACAAGGAGCUGGAGUCCAGGGAUGUGUUCAACAGGGUCUGGCAUGGAAGGAGCAGGAGCCACAGAGACUUUGGUAACUGGCUCAGCCUCAAUCAGCAAGUGGCUGAGAGAGAAAAGAUGGAGGUGACUUGGGAGCAAGACUUCCAUCUGGACUGCGAUGAUGGUGCCGGGGCCUCUGGCUCUUGCCUGUCCAUGCAUCAUGCAUGGCCAGAUCAGCAGUCACAUCCCUUCAGAAGGUUCCCACAUCCUGUAAGGGGAGUGGCUCCCAGUCCUGGCUGCCCUUUUGAAUCACCUGGAAAACUUUAAAAUCUGCUGGCUGGGUCCUGAUGUAACUGAUCUGCGCACAGCCUGGGCAUGGAGAGGUUCAAGCUCCCAGGUGAUUUGAAUGCACACUGGGCUGAGUCAAGCUCUCAGGCGCAGGUGCACACUGGGAGCUCCAGGGGAGUUUUACAAACUACUAAAGUGCUGAGUCCCACCCAGAGCUUUUGGUGCAGUUGGGACAGGGGGAAGCCUGUGCACUAGGAGUUGUAACCUUUCCCCGGGUGAUUAUAACGCGCAGCCACGUUUGGGGACUGCUGCUUGAAGGCAACUUGUUUGGACCCAAGAGUCAGUUCUGAGCAGAUGCUUCUAAUGCUAGCAUUUCCUAAAAGAGUGUUCUUGAUUCUCUCGCUCUUUAUAAGUAGACCCAGAAAUCUUUUUUUUUUCCUUCUCAAUGUACAGAUUAUUUUUCUGAAGCAUU